ensembl:lncRNA
UUCUUCAAUAAGGAAAAGAACGUGACUGAUAGGGUUAUGGCUUCAGCAUAGCACAUAGCACAGAACAGAUAAAGCUGAUAACCUUCAGUCUUCAACAAACUCUAGUUUAUUUCCACAGAUUAUUACCAGGCUGAAGGUUUAAUCACACACUCCAACUCAAACUUUUGAAAAGCAACAAUGACAGAGCUUAUAAGAGAGAGAUAAGUAAUUUAUGUCCAAAAAAGAUGUGAAAUUAAAUUAGUUCAAGUCUUAUCUUAAUAUUUUCAGAUAGUCUAUAUAUGUGUGUGUCAUCAAGGAUAAAAGGAGCCUAUAAGCCAGCAGUUAAUUUAUCAAGGUUAAACUUCAUAAUAAAGCCUAAGAUAUGAUAUCAACAGCACAACAAAACUACAUUUGUGAACAUAAGCUAGAGAAAACAAGCCUAUGUAGACAGACCGGUGUGGCUACCAACUGAAAUUCAAAACAGAAUCUGGUUCCCCCACUUCUCAACUCAGUAUCCCACACUGGGAAUAUACUCAGAGAUUACAACAGUCAGUUGUAGAAAGGAUAUCAACAGAGUGUUAGAAAAUGCUUCAACAAACCAGAGGUGGAGGUGUACUAGGUCAAGCUCCACCCAUGAUCUCCAGAGAACUGAGCUGGACAUGACUUAACUCUGCAGUGAGCACCACUUCUUUACCUUUGGUUAUUAACAAAUGUACAGUAUGGUACUGUAGAAGAACAAUAUUGGUUAACUGAUCGCAAUCUCAUGUUAGUAUUAUAUUUUAUACAAGGAUAAUUCUGGUGUGGCAGUGCAUAGUUUUUUAUGCCCAGUAUACACUUGACUAUUUUGGCUUUCCCAGAUGAAAACAACGAACAAUCAUGCCGAUUUCUUUGGUCAUGGCUCCUUGCUGUCACAACUUGCAACCAGUGAUAGCCUGCAAUAAUUUUAUUAGAGUGUUGGAUAUUUAAGGAAAAAAAUAUUGUGGUGUUGUAACAGCAGAGGCAUUGUUUGUAUGUUGUUUCCUAUGACUGUUACAUCAUCAAGAAUAAUCUAUGAAAGCAGUUAAAGGAGGAAUUGCGGCUCCAAAGUGAGAAGCAGACAAGUUGUACAACUGCAGUCCUACUUGUUAGGCCACAA